AUUUGGGGCAGUACAGCUGUCAAAUGGGAAUACAGGUAUCCUAAGGUGAGUUCAGGGAGGACAGAAACUUCCAGUGGAGGAGAAGGGCAAAAACUCCCUUGAUCCUGACUUUCAGUAUAAAUAUAGGCCAUGAAAGCAGGGCCUGGUGAUUCUUUAAAAUAAAAAAAAAGUCUCAGAAUUUAAGAG
rfam:Chlorocebus sabaeus isolate 1994-021 chromosome 10, whole genome shotgun sequence.